UCUUUUUGUUUUUUUUCUUCAGGGGAUGCAAGUGGAAUAUGUCUAGACUCAGCCCGUCUCUGCGUUGCUGCAGCCCCUCAAUGUCCACUUAUGUCAUGGAUCCAGGAAAUCUGCCUGCAAUUCAGCUCAUUGGGCUGAUCUGUUUUGACCUUCCUUGAUCAGAGAGGUGAUGUUCCAAACAGGAUGUUGUCCACUCACCUUGGAACUGUCAUCUGUAAACCAAGAAGCUCUUCAUAGGUCAGUUGAGAAUUGUUUAUAGGAUAUUGUCCAAGUGAUGAAAAAAUGCAGCAGCUCCUCCUGCAGUUCCAAAGUUAGUCCGAGGGGAAGAGUCAAUGCCCAGUGGACUCUGGAAACUUUGAGAUUCUCCUUCAUGAAGAACAAAAGGGAAAUACUGUAUAUUCAUAAAUAUGAUGAUGAUGA